GUCCCUCGGACUAUAUAUUUCUAGAAGCGACCCUACUACCGUCAAGUCAAUUAGUAUUAUACAUCUCUUCGAAGCUAUUUAAUGCGAUAAAAAUUUGUACUAGCUCCCUUUUGCCAUUGCCACGUAAAUCAGGCACAAUAUUGGCAUACAUUAUCGUGUUUGUGUGUAGGCCGUUAAACAAUGGCCCCUACCUCGGGAAGAAGAUUUUAAUCAAGCACCUGGAAAA
rnacentral:lncRNA from 1 species